rnacentral:misc_RNA from 1 species
GGAGAAUUUGAUACACCCACAAAACCUUCGAUUGAUGGUGAUGGCCCAAACAAUCCGGAUGCAGGUUGAUGAACAAAGCUCUGUUCCCGUGAAAAAUCAAUAAAGGCAGGAUCCCCAACACCAUGCCAUCCAUAUGCAACAUUGCGACUCAUUUUUUGCCCAGUCCUAUCAACAAGCAUAUCCCUGUGAACUCCAGCAAAUGAACUGGU